UACGAAGGGUGCAAGCGUUAAUCGGAAUUACUGGGCGUAAAGCGUGCGUAGGCGGUUUCUUAAGUCUGCUGUGAAAUCCCCGGGCUCAACCUGGGAAUGGCAGUGGAUACUGGGAGGCUAGAGUGUGUCAGAGGGUGGUGGAAUUCCCGGUGUAGCGGUGAAAUGCGUAGAGAUCGGGAGGAACAUCAGUGGCGAAGGCGGCCACCUGGGACAACACUGACGCUGAGGCACGAAAGCGUGGGGAGCAAACAGG
rnacentral:rRNA from 2 species